UACGUAGGGGGCAAGCGUUGUCCGGAAUCAUUGGGCGUAAAGCGCGUGUAGGCGGCUCGAUAAGUCCGCUCUGAAAGUCCAGGGCUCAACCCUGGGAUGCGGGUGGAUACUGUCGGGCUCGAGUCCGGAAGAGGCGAGUGGAAUUCCCGGUGUAGCGGUGAAAUGCGCAGAUAUCAGGAAGAACACCCGUGGCGAAGGCGGCUCUCUGGAACGCAACUGACGCUGAGACGCGAAAGCGUGGGGAGCAAACAGG
rnacentral:rRNA from 1 species